UUAUUUUUUAAAAUAUAUUUUAUUGAUUUUUUACAGAGAGGAAGGGAGAGGGAUAGUUAGAAACAUCGAUGGGAGAGAAAUAUCCAUCAGCUGCCUCCUGCACACUCCCUACUGGGGAUGUGCCCGCAACCAAGGUACAUGCCCUUGACAGGAAUCGAACCUGGGACCCUUCAGUCCGCAGGCCGACGCUCUAUCCACUGAGCCAAACUGGUCAGGGCGGUUCCUGCACCUCGGGUGGUGCCGAGGCAGGCCAGCCGGCUCUGGUUUGAAAACCGCGGCCCCGGGUGACACGCACCGAUGAGAAUAGCAGAGCCCUUUUCCGGGUGGUCUGGGGCGGCGACUCGAACUCCUCUCUCCUUCCGCAGCUAGAAACAUGCGGCUACACUGCAGGGGCUUCGUGGAACAGAAGUGAAUCACCGAUAAAAACAGCACCUGGGAGCCUUUGAGCCAGGCAGUGACAGCACAACACUCGUACCCUCCGCCAGGCUCCUCGUAUCCACGCUUUGUUCAAGCAUUAUCUUCCCAGAGCACCUACUGUGAGAUCGCGACCAUCUCCCCGUGUCCUCUCCCCUCCCGCUGUCUCUCUACGGGACAUGUCACUGCUUCCUUGUUUAUACUGUUUCCCCUCACUGAAGUGCACACAUUUGAGUUAAUGUCGGAUGUGUCCGCAUUUCCCCAGGUUGGUGGAGGUGAUCCUGGGCCAUACUGAGGUUGCCACAUUUUAUUCUGAGGCUUGCCCCUCUCCAGAGCCCAGCAGUUUCUCACUUGCCUUAGUAAUUGACGCUAUCUUACGAUCUCCCUCAGGCCUGGUACUGGGCCAAGCUUUCUACAAAAAUGUCUAACUUGCCAUAUGGCAAAUGGGAAUAUGGGCCCCUCCCCAUGUUCCAACUCCCCCUGCCACCCUGGGAAAUAUAGUGAAGGCCAUCUGUAAGCGGACUGUGAGACCUUGGGAACCUGGCCAGCAACUCAGGCUAACAACAGCCAAAGAGAAGCUUUUUUAGAUGUGAGCCUGAAUUGUAAACAGCUAGUGUUUUGAUCUCAGAUAGGCACAUCCCCCUCCAUUUUUCUGUACUCUAUAAAGCACCAGCCAGCCGCCCCUGGUGCUACCCGUGCACAGGCUGAUGGGACUUAGCAAUUCAUCUUCACUGGUUGACCACCACAGGUGCGCAUCUUCCCAGUUCCUUUCAACAUCUCUACUGCCAAAGACAAGGACACAGGAGGCCGGGUGGAGACCGAGGUUUCACAAGAAACUGAUCUUUACUCAACAAAGUUCUACACAAGUGGAAUCUCACGCCACCUCGGCGCCAAUCCCCAGCACAGCACAGUAACAAAUGGACAGACCCUGGAGCCCGCAGGAGGAAGAGGGUGAAGGGGAAGGAGGGACAUGGGAGCAAGUGGGACUGUGGAUAGAGGCCAGUCAGGGUCCACAGCCCAGGGCAGGGGAGGUUGAGAAGCUACAACUUCGUUGUGCAAAAAUCAACCAAAAAUAAAU